AUUGAACGCUGGCGGCAGGCUUAACACAUGCAAGUCGAGCGGGGGAAGGUAGCUUGCUACCGGACCUAGCGGCGGACGGGUGAGUAAUGCUUAGGAAUCUGCCUAUUAGUGGGGGACAACAUCUCGAAAGGGAUGCUAAUACCGCAUACGUCCUACGAGAGAAAGCAGGGGAUCUUCGGACCUUGCGCUAAUAGAUGAGCCUAAGGCGGAUUAGCUAGUUGGUGGGGUAAAGGCCUACCAAGGCGACGAUCUGUAGCGGGUCUGAGAGGAUGAUCCGCCACACUGGGACUGAGACACGGCCCAGACUCCUACGGGAGGCAGCAGUGGGGAAUAUUGGACAAUGGGGGGAACCCUGAUCCAGCCAUGCCGCGUGUGUGAAGAAGGCCUUAUGGUUGUAAAGCACUUUAAGCGAGGAGGAGGCUACUCUAGUUAAUACCUAGGGACAGUGGACGUUACUCGCAGAAUAAGCACCGGCUAACUCUGUGCCAGCAGCCGCCGUAA
rnacentral:rRNA from 1 species